rnacentral:tRNA from 1 species
AGGGGUAUAGCUCAGUUGGUAGAGUGCUUGCUUCGCAUGCACAGGCUCUGGGUUCAAUCCCCAGCACCACAA